GACAGCAGCAGCCACGGGAAUACGAAGGGGGCUAGCGUUGCUCGGAAUCACUGGGCGUAAAGGGUGCGUAGGCGGGUCUUUAAGUCAGGGGUGAAAUCCUGGAGUUCAACUCCAGAACUGCCUUUGAUACUGAAGAUCUUGAGUAUGGGAGAGGUGAGUGGAACUGCGAGUGUAGAGGUGAAAUUCGUAGAUAUUCGCAAGAACACCAGUGGCGAAGGCGGCUCACUGGCCCAUAACUGACGCUGAGGCACGAAAGCGUGGGGAGCAAACAGGAUUAGAUACCCGCGUAGUCCCUGUCUCUUAUAC
rnacentral:rRNA from 1 species